GGCGGACGGGUGAGUAAUAUAUAGUUAACCUGCCCUCGAGAAAGGAAUAACAGUUGGAAACGACUGCUAAUGCCCUAUAUGCCUUUAAGACAUAAGUCUGCAAGGGAAAUGCUUUUGUGCUCGAGGAUGGGACUGUACGGUAUCAGAUAGUUGGUGGGGUAAUGGCCUACCAAGUCAAUGACGCCUAACUGGUUUGAGAGGAUGAUCAGUCACACUGGAACUGAGACACGGUCCAGACUCCUACGGGAGGCAGCAGUGGGGAAUAUUGCACAAUGGAGGAAACUCUGAUGCAGCAACGCCGCGUGGAGGAUGACACAUUUCGGUGCGUAAACUCCUUUUAUAUAGGAAGAUAAUGACGGUACUAUAUGAAUAAGCGCCGGCUAACUCCGUGCCAGCAGCCGCGGUAAUACGGAGGGCGCAAGCGUUACUCGGAAUCACUGGGCGUAAAGAGCGUGUAGGCGGAUAGAUAAGUCAGAAGUGAAAUCCUAUGGCUCAACCAUAGAACUGCUUUUGAAACUGUUUAUCUAGAGUGUGGGAGAGGUAGAUGGAAUUUCUGGUGUAGGGGUAAAAUCCGUAGAGAUCAGAAGGAAUACCGAUUGCGAAGGCGAUCUACUGGAACAUUAUUGACGCUGAGACGCGAAAGCGUGGGGAGCAAACAGGAUUAGAUACCCUGGUAGUCCACGCCCUAAACGAUGUACACUAGUUGUUGUGAGGCUAGACCUUGCAGUAAUGCAGUAAACACAUUAAGUGUACC
rnacentral:rRNA from 1 species